rnacentral:rRNA from 1 species
GACGAACGCUGGCGGCGUGCUUAACACAUGCAAGUCGAACGGAAAGGCCCCUUUGGGGGUACUCGAGUGGCGAACGGGUGAGUAACACGUGAGUAACCUGCCCUUGACUUCGGGAUAACUUCAGGAAACUGGGGCUAAUACCGGCUAGGAAUCCUUGCUGCAUGGUGGGGGUUGGAAAGCUUCGGCGGUUUUGGAUGGACUCGCGGCUUAUCAGCUUGUUGGUGGGGUAGUGGCUUACCAAGGCUUUGACGGGUAGCCGGCCUGAGAGGGCGACCGGCCACAUUGGGACUGAGAUACGGCCCAGACUCCUACGGGAGGCAGCAGUGGGGAAUAUUGCACAAUGGGCGGAAGCCUGAUGCAGCAACGCCGCGUGCGGGAUGACGGCCUUCGGGUUGUAAACCGCUUUCAGCAGGGGCGAAGCUUGUGGUGACGGUACCUGCAGAAGAAGCACCGGCUAACUACGUG